GGGGAAGCCAUAGUUAGGGUUUUCAAGCUUCCAAGCUCCAUAAUCAAGAAGUACGAAACUCGAGGUUAGACAAAGGGAAGAAUAAAGUUGAAGACUAAGUUGGUGAAUUUGGCUAUAAUUGGUACCGAGUAUUGCAAAGCUACUUCAAGGAUCCUAAAGAAGUCGGAGAUCGUCCACACUAUCAACCACAACUGCUCGGUAUUUUAUAUCGAAUCACGUUUGAGUUAUGGCAUGUAUAGGGAUUUAGUUAUUUUGUAUGUUUGUGAUUAUGAUUUUGCUAAAGAAUGGUGUGUAAGUAUUUGAUGAUGUAUGGUUAUUAAAAUGGUUAAGUA